GAAGCACCAAUUAAAUCUUUUAUGAGUUUUACACAUGAUCCGUGUGUCUCUUUGCAGCAACGGAACACUGACUAAGACCUAUAGGAAUGUGGAAAUUCAUGUAGACGAAGGAGUCAAGAGUUUUGCAGCAGGUACCUCUGAGGGGAGUUCAAGGAAGAGCAAGGAGAACCAUGCCCCCUCAGAAGCACAUAGCGGGUGAAGUGGGAGAGGCUGUCGGAUGAGAUCCCACAGUGGCUUUCAGGCCAUUUUCAGAAUUUGGAGUUUCAUCUGACUGAAGACAAAAGAAAAAUUUGAGGACAUGUGACAUGAUUUGCCUUUUUCACAAAAGAAGAAAAGACAGACCUGACAACAUGCACAAAAAUCAGAGCUAGCUCCGUGUUCCUCAGAGGUCCACGAUGGAAUGCUGACUCUGAACGAGAAAGACAAAGCAAAACUUUCUGGCCCACACUCAUCUCAACUGACAGAAGAAGUUAUGAGCUGGAGUGAAUGGCUGAGUGAAUAAAAGAACUUGUUGCUUUCUCCAGAGGAUCUGAGUUCAGUUCCCAGCAACCACCUUGUGGUUCACAAACUUCUGUUCCAGCGGUGGAUGCCCACACAAACAUGCAACAAAACACUCAUCUAUAGAUCAAAUAAGUAUCUACCUAAUGUUAAAAAAAAUGAAGAAUUCCCCAAAGUAGUAGCGUGUGCAUCUCUGUGUGUGUGUGUGUGUGUGUGUG